rfam:Valsa mali strain 03-8 chromosome 6, whole genome shotgun sequence.
UCCUUCGUGGCGCAAUUGGCUAGCGCGUCUGACUGUUAAUCAGGAGGUUCGUGGUUCGAGCCCACGCGAAGGAG